rnacentral:lncRNA from 1 species
CGAAUCCCUCCCACAGAUCCCCCGCCGUGCUCGAGCGCGAGCGCCUCCUCGCUCCCUCGUCCAAGAAGCAGGCACGAGCAGGCGCCCCUCUCCCGUAGCUCGAAUUUGAGUGAGUCGAGCGAGCGCUUCCUCGCACCCUCGUCCACGAAGGAGGCAGCUCUCAAGGGCCCUUUUUCCCCGCAGCGAACCCAGUGGGUCGGGCCAAACCCCCGCCGGCGAUCUGCAGCAGGACCCCGCUGGUGAGCCAGCUCCUUCCCGCGCUUCUCCCCGGUCUCCUCUCUCUCUUCUCACCCUCUCUUCUCUCUCGAGCAGGAAGUACCAACUCCAACACAACAAUGGCGCCGCCCAUGGAUCUCAGAACUGCCGCUGUCACGCCCGCAUCAUUCGGAACCUUCACCGACACAUGCCAUCGCGAUCUUGCAUGUGCGUGUCAGCACCACAACAAUGGCGCUGCCCAGAUCUCAGAACUCCCGUCGUCAUGCCCGCGUCAUUCGUCGGAAUCUUCACCGACGCCCGUCGUCGCGAUUCUGCAUGUGCGUGUCAGCGGGAGCAUCUCCCACGUUGGCCUCGACCGCCCCUCACCGUCUCCCUCUCUUUGAGUCACAGGCCGACGGCGAGCUCGUGGCAUGAAGGCCCGACGGCCAUGGCUUCCUGCGAAGGAGAGAGAGAGAGAAAGAGAGGGAGGUGAGAGAUAGAAGUGGAGGGCCAGGAGGGAAGGAGAGGAGGGCAGGGUUGGCGCCUUAGUCCGACGGCGGCGCUCUGGUGGCUGGCCGGUGCGGGGCGGCGGGGAGGCUCGAGCGCGAGCCCGCGGGUGAAGGCGCUGGGCGCGGUCGGCGGUGGCGGACGCAGGAUCGCGGGUUGAAUACAAAUAAACAAAGGGUGUUUUUGUAAAAAUGAAACGUUUUCUUAGGUCCAUUUAAAAUAGAACUGCGGGUUGAAUAUCUAAAAACAUAAGGGUUUUUCUGAAAAAUUGUCGCGACGUACUUUAUUAUUAUUAGGGGAAGAUUUAGUGAGUUUCCAUACAUAAUUCACGAGAUAACGUCAGCCGCACGAUCUUAUGAUCGAUAGACAGCUGAGAGCGCACCUGAGCCUCUUAGCUACUAACAGGCACGCCCUGGCUAUCAAAUUGCCUUCAACCUCCAGCCAAGAAGCAUAGGCAAGCCUCCACCCACGUUAAUGCGCACUCUUGCACGCCCUGCAAGAUCGUGCACCUCAACGGCCAUGCCGCCAUUCUUUAUAUGUAACAUCUUAAUUUUUAAUUUGGAUGUUAAUUAAUCAUUUAGGUAAUCAUAUGCAUUCAUGAUUCUUGCAUUUUUUGAAUUGGUUUUAUUUGGACAGUUUGAUUCUAAAGAUCUUAAGCAAAUCAAGGACCAUUUGAGAGAGUUGGAGGUUUUCAUAAAAUUCCAUUUUUGAAAUUUUUAAAAUUGGUAAACUGGAUCAAAGAGAAUUUUACUUGAAAUUAUUUUUUCCAAAUUAUUUCCAAAUAAAUAAAUAAUGAGAGAAGAUAAUAUUACUUCUUCAAAACAGAGGAAAUAAUGGAAAUUUAAUUUUAAAUAAAAAUAUUUAUUUUAUUGGAUUUUUA